rnacentral:rRNA from 2 species
UGGGGAAUUUUGGACAAUGGGGGCAACCCUGAUCCAGCAAUGCCGCGUGAGUGAAGAAGGCCUUCGGGUUGUAAAGCUCUUUUGUCAGGGAAGAAACGGUAGUAGCUAAUAUCUACUGCUAAUGACGGUACCUGAAGAAUAAGCACCGGCUAACUACGUGCCAGCAGCCGCGGUAAUACGGAGGGUGCAAGCGUUAAUCGGAAUUACUGGGCGUAAAGCGUGCGCAGGCGGUUGUGUAAGUCAGAUGUGAAAUCCCCGGGCUCAACCUGGGAAUUGCAUUUGGGACUGCACGGCUAGAGUGUGUCAGAGGGGGGUAGAAUUCCACGUGUAGCAGUGAAAUGCGUAGAUAUGUGGAGGAAUACCGAUGGCGAAGGCAGCCCCCUGGGAUAACACUGACGCUCAUGCACGAAAGCGUGGGGAGCAAACAGG